UUGUGAUGGGCAGCUGCCUUAGCUAUUAUUACCUGGCCAAUGGGGAUUCUAGAGGGAUUAUGGGCAGGUGUAUAAAGACUCAUGUUUUCAGAGCAUCUUGGCAUUUGGUGGGGGGAUCAGACUGGAGGCAGCAGUAGACCAAGGAGGGAGAGACGGUUCUGAUGGGAAAGCGAACGAAACGACCCAAGUUGGCCCGUACGCCCGCAGCCCUCCACCGAAGAAACGUGAGCAACCCUUGUCAGUGCACUGCACUCCUCGCUUGCACUGGAUGUCAUCUGUUCUGUCCUCACCCCCUUCCGUAGAGCCCGAACAGCGUUGGCUGGGGACCGUGACCAGGCUCAGGCGGAAUUGACGUUGGGUUGGAGCCAAACCAUGCUCUCAGUCAGCUAUGGACUGAAUGUGUGCUGAAUCCGGAUUGAGCAGAUGUCACCACCACCGUAAGGAACUAAGACCGCUGAGACUAUUUGCUUUUUCUAAAGGACAAUUUAGUUUUAACAUAUUGGUAAGCCUAAAUAAAAGUGCUAUUUAUUUUU